UACGAAGGGGGCUAGCGUUGUUCGGAAUCACUGGGCGUAAAGCGCGCGUAGGUGGCUUCGUAAGUCCGUUGUGAAAGUCAAAGGCUCAACCUUUGAAAGCCGAUGGAUACUGCGGAGCUAGAGUACGGAAGAGGCGAGUGGAAUUCCUGGUGUAGCGGUGGAAUGCGCAGAUAUCAGGAGGAACACCAAUAGCGAAGGCAGCUCGCUGGGACGUUACUGACACUGAGGCGCGAAAGCGUGGGGAGCGAACAGG
rnacentral:rRNA from 1 species